rfam:Myotis davidii contig56941, whole genome shotgun sequence.
GGUGGUUCUCGGACGAUGCACCCUGGACUGGGGCUCCCUCCUCUCUGAUUCUGGGGUAUGUCACCCAAGAACCACC